UACAGAGGGGGCGAGCGUUGUUCGGAAUUACUGGGCGUAAAGCGCGCGCAGGCGGCUAUCCAAGUCAGUGGUGAAAGCCCGGAGCUCAACUCCGGAACUGCCAUUGAAACUGUUUAGCUUGAGGACGAGAGAGGUGAGUGGAAUUCCCAGUGUAGAGGUGAAAUUCGUAGAUAUUGGGAAGAACACCGGUGGCGAAGGCGGCUCACUGGCUCGUAUCUGACGCUCAGGCGCGACAGCGUGGGGAUCAAACAGG
rnacentral:rRNA from 1 species